rnacentral:rRNA from 1 species
AGUGAACGCUGGCGGUAGGCCUAACACAUGCAAGUCGAACGGCAGCACAGUAAGAGCUUGCUCUUACGGGUGGCGAGUGGCGGACGGGUGAGGAAUACAUCGGAAUCUACUUUUUCGUGGGGGAUAACGUAGGGAAACUUACGCUAAUACCGCAUACGACCUACGGGUGAAAGCAGGGGAUCUUCGGACCUUGCGCGAUUGAAUGAGCCGAUGUCGGAUUAGCUAGUUGGCGGGGUAAAGGCCCACCAAGGCGACGAUCCGUAGCUGGUCUGAGAGGAUGAUAGCCAGCAGGGGAGGGGGGACGGGCACAAGCCUCCGGCGGGAGGGAGCAGAGGGAAAUGUGGGGCAGGGGGCGGAACCAUUACCCACCAAGCCCGAGUGGGAGAAAGAGGCUUUGGGUUUGUAAAGCCGUUUUUUGGGGAAAAAAAAGCUGUGGGUAGAACCCCGGCGGUCGUGACGGUACCCAAAGAAAAAGCGCCGGCUAACUACGUG